UUUAUUACUUGUCGUUUUGUGUACCCUGGAUGAUUCCUAGACAGGGAUUUAAUACACAAAAUAGUCUGGAAAUUUGGGCUAAAUUUCUGGACGUGACAUACUACUACAUAAAUGAAUUUUUGGAUGAGACCCUCUUUAGGUUGCAAACGUAAUUUUAACUAGCCGCAUCUGCAAAAAUCGUCCUCCAUUUUCGCAUACGACUCCUUAAGGGGACCACACACAAAAAUCGAUGUUCACAGACGAGCCUCUUAAGGCUCCGCACGUAAAAAUAAGCAUAUUUUUUGCAGGCGGACCUCUUAAGGGGCUGCAAACAAAAAUAUAUUUUCGUAGGCAGACCUCUUGAUGCUCCGCCUAAACUUUGAGUUAACUCCUCAUUCCCUCUUAAUAUUUCAAAGUUUUUCAUCCUUAUCCACUCAUAUUUCUCUCACCUUCUCUCUCUCACCUCCUGAUGUGCCCUAACCCCCAUCACAUGAUGAUGAGCACAUCCCAGCUACACUUGACAUAAACAAGGAUGAUGGUUUACGUCAUAAGUCACAUGAGGAAAAUGAAAAUGACGUAAAUUAUGUUGAUGGAUUACGUCUCAACAAGAACGAUCAAGCAUAUCAUGGUCCAAUUACGCGCAGCCGUGCUAGGAAAAUACAACAAGAGGUGAACUCGCUCUUUGCUCAACUUAAUCCAAAUUUUUGUGAGAAUUUUAUACUACCUAAAUGCUCUACAUUUUUAUUGCUCAGGUUUACACCCGAGGAGAUCAUCACUACACCAAGAAGGAUGGGUUACAUUGAGGAUGAUAAGGGUUACGUUGAGGACGAUAAAGGUUACGACGAGGAAGAACCAGCCCAUCCCAAACCAGUAGCUGUCUACGCCAACAAGAAGAUGGUUUACUCUGCAAAAGACUCAACUUCCAAGGCUUGUGUGACCCAACCAGUCAACUUUCUCCAUGCUUAAUAUAUAUGGUUGGAAAGAUAAUCAGGUCUAGUUUCACCUCCAACAAACGGCUCGUCAUUUCGACUUCCCACUAAGGAGUUAUGGACAAAUCAUUGAAGACUGCUCAGAAGCCAAACAGACGCGCGAGUCUUCUCGGGAAUUCACUUAUUAUGACCUUUGAACUAGCCUAUGUCCAGUAAACUCCCAAGACUUUUCAUUCUCAUCUAGGAGGGUUGUUCCUAGUAUAAAUAUCACCUAUGUUUUAUCAUUUAGAAGACUUGGACAAUGAAAAUAUGAACCCCUCUUGUUCAGCUGUGUGCUAACAAA